AGUCUAGCCUGCUCACUGAUAUUAACAUUAAAUAGCCGCGGUAUCAUGACCGUGCAAAGGUAGCAUAAUCAUUAGUUCUUUAAUUGAGAACUUGUAUGAAUGGUUGGACAAGGAAAAGACUGUCUCUCUUGUUUAAAUUGAAUUUAACUUUUAAGUGAAAAGGCUUAGAUUAUCUAGAGGGACGAUAAGACCCUAUAAAGCUUUAUAAGUUUAUGUAUUUUAUAUAUUUUAUAAUAAGGAUAAUUUUCGGAAAACUUAUUUGGUUGGGGCGACAAGAGUAUAAUUAAUAUAACUGCUAUUAAAUUAAACAAUAAUUUUUGAAUUUUAUAAAUGAUCCUUCUUAAAGAUUAAAGAUCAAGUUACUUUAGGGAUAACAGCGUUAUUUUUCCAGAGAGCCCUUAUCAAAGGGAAAGUUUGCGACCUCGAUGUUGAAUUAAAAUGUCUUUAUAGUGCAGCAGCUAUAAAAGAAGGUCUGUUCGACCUUUAAUAUUUUACAUGAUUUGAGUUCAGACCGGCGUGAGCCAGGUCGGUUUCUAUCUUCUAGAAAUUAAAUGUAAUAUUUUAGUACGAAAGGAUUAAAUAUUAAAAAUUUUUUUAAACUUUGAAAU
rnacentral:rRNA from 1 species